UACGUAGGUGGCAAGCGUUGUCCGGAAUUACUGGGUGUAAAGGGAGCGUAGGCGGGAGGAUAAGUUGGACGUAUAAACUAUCGGCUCAACCGGUAGAGGCGUUCAAAACUGUCCUUCUUGAGUGAAGUAGAGGUAAGCGGAAUUCCUAGUGUAGCGGUGAAAUGCGUAAAUAUUAGGAGGAACACCAGUGGCGAAGGCGGCUUACUGGGCUUUAACUGACGCUGAGGCUCGAAAGCGUGGGUAGCAAACAG
rnacentral:rRNA from 1 species